ACGACUGUAUAGUCUGAAGAAGGCUACAGAAAAGAUACCUUUCUGUGAAAGAUCCGUGUCUGUCCUCCCGCUUUGCAGCUCGAAUCAAGCCGUGCCCCUGCAGCUGCAGCUGUGCGGGAGAUAAGGGGCUUCUUCCCCGCAGCACAAAUAGCAGACACAACAGCCCACCGCAGAAGUAGUCCCCAGCAGAAGUUUCACCACGUAGUUACAGCAUUAUGGUUACAGCUGGAUAGGACUGCGACGUGGGUGCGGACAACCUUCCUCCCUGGGGCAUGGUGCCCCGAGGCUCCUGUUCUCAUUCCUGGUGAUAUAUAAAGCUCUGGUGUCAUACGUUCCUGCUCCUUUGUCCCAGUUCUCCCAUCAAGGCAAGCUGAAACCAAGCUUCUGCUGUUGAUUUCUGGAACACAGAC
rnacentral:lncRNA from 1 species